rnacentral:tRNA from 1 species
GGCUGAAUAGCUCAGCUGGUAAGAGCAGUCGCCCGGCAAGCGUAAGACUCGGGUUCGAUUCCCGAUUCAGCGA